UACGUAGGGCGCAAGCGUUAUCCGGAAUUAUUGGGCGUAAAGAGCUCGUAGGCGGUCUGUCGCGUCGGCUGUGAAAACUCGGGGCUCAACCCCGAGCCUGCAGUCGAUACGGGCAGACUAGAGUGCGGUAGGGGAGACUGGAAUUCCUGGUGUAGCGGUGAAAUGCGCAGAUAUCAGGAGGAACACCGGUGGCGAAGGCGGGUCUCUGGGCCGACACUGACGCUGAUGCGCGAAAGCGUGGGGAGCAAACAGG
rnacentral:rRNA from 1 species